UACGGAGGGGCUAGCGUUGUUCGGAAUUACUGGGCGUAAAGCGCACGUAGGCGGAUCGGAAAGUUGGGGUGAAAUCCCGGGGCUCAACCUCGGAACUGCCUCCAAAACUAUCGGUCUUGAGUUCGAGAGAGGUGAGUGGAAUUCCGAGUGUAGAGGUGAAAUUCGUAGAUAUUCGGAGGAACACCAGUGGCGAAGGCGGCUCACUGGCUCGAUACUGACGCUGAGGUGCGAAAGUGUGGGGAGCAAACAGGAUUAGAUACCCUGGUAGUCCCUGAG
rnacentral:rRNA from 1 species